CGUCUUCCGAAUCCUUCGAUCUCCCCCAUCGAACUCUGGUUCGGCCCCGUCUCUCGAAAUCCUUGGUCACGUCGAAGGAACCCUAGAAAACCUACCUCGAUUCGUCGAGAUCUCCGCCGAUUUCGAUCGAUUCCGGUCCCUCCCCUCGGUUAGAGCUUCGAUCUUUGCGUUACUACUACUAUUAUUAUUUUAGAUCGGAGAUGCCCUCGGUCGAUUCUUGAUCGCCGCCACCGCCGCCGCCUCCGCCUAGGGGCGAAGGAGGUUUUUCUUCUUUGUAUGGAAACACGCAGCCGGAAGCGGGCGGAGGCCUCCUCGUCGGCGCCCUCUUCUCAGACCCCUCCCGCUGCUCCCCGACCCGCCAAGCGCCCCCGCAUCGCUCUCUCCUCCCAGGCUCCCCCGGCCCUCUCGACGCGCUCCCGCCGGUCCCAGAACCCCCCGCCGUCUCCGCCAUCUUCCUCGUCCUCCGCCGUUGCCAACGCAGUCAUGGACUCUUCCGGCGGAGACUUUAUCGGCCGCCGACGCCGCACUUCUGGAAAGAGUCGUCAGCCCUCAGGGGAUCGCGACCGGGAUGCCUCUGACAAAGGAAAGGAGGCGGGGGCAUCCAGGGCGAGAGAGAGGGACAGGGACGCUGAAAGGAUCUUAGGGUUGAGCUUUGACGGGGGAGGAGCAGAUGAUGAUAACGACGGCGAUGGCGGUCUUGGCAUCCUCCAUCAGAAUCUGACAUCCGCUAGCAGCGCCCUUCAGGGGCUUCUCAGAAAACUGGGCGCUGGGUUUGACGAUCUCCUACCGUCGUCAGCUUUGACGGCUUCUUCUUCCUUGCAGCAGAGCGGGCGGUUGAAAAAGAUCCUGUCAGGUCUGAGGGCUGAUGGAGAGGAGGGAAAACAGUUCGAGGCGCUGAACCAGCUUUGUGAGAUGUUGUCCAUUGGGACUGAGGAUUCUCUUCUGUCGAUGUCGGUUGACUCAUUCGUGCCUGUGCUCGUGGGGCUUCUCAACCAUGAGAGCAAUCCCGACAUCAUGCUACUCGCUGCCAGGGCUCUCACCUACUUAUGUGAUGUUCUACCUUCAUCUUGUUCGGCUGUGGUUCGUUAUGGUGCUAUUCCUUGUUUCUGUGCGCGACUUCUUACGAUAGAGUACAUGGACCUAGCAGAACAGUCCCUACAAGCUCUCAAGAAGAUAUCACAAGAGCAUCCAACGGCUUGCUUACGUGCUGGUGCACUUAUGGCUGUGCUAUCUUAUCUUGAUUUCUUUUCCACAGGAGUUCAGAGAGUUGCGUUAUCCACUGCAGCAAAUAUGUGUAAGAAACUCCCAUCUGAUGCAGCUGAUUUUGUAAUGGAAGCAGUUCCAUUGUUGAGUAACCUUCUCAACUAUCAUGAUUCAAAGGUUGUAGAGCAUGCUUCUGUCUGCUUGACGCGAAUUGCAGAAGCAUUUGCAUUAUCUCCUGAUAAAAUAGAUGAAUUGUGUAAUCAUGGAUUGGUUGCACAAGCUGCGGGCCUUAUAUCUCUUGGUAAUUCAGGAGGACAAGCCUCCCUUAGCACGUCCACAUACACGGGUAUACUCCGUCUUCUCUCUACAUGUGCUAGUGGAUCUCCUCUAGCUGCGAAAACCCUUCUUCUUUCAGGAAUCAGUGCCACACUUAGAGACAUUCUUCUGUGUUCUGGGCUUGUAUCUGGUUCUUCUGUUUCACCUUCCUUAACAAGACCACCUGAGCAGGUUUAUGUGAUUGUGAACCUUGUGGAUGAGCUUCUUCCUUCCGUGCCUCAAGGAACUAUUUCUUUGCCAUUGCCUUCUAAUGUUCUUGUGAAAGGAUCAGCUGCCAAAAACUCUCUUCCUAGUUCUUCUGGUCAGCAUGCCGAACCUAAAGGAACAACAAGUGACGUAUCGGCUCAUGGGAAAUUAUUGCAGGACCAACCUGAACUUCUGCAGCAGUUUGGAAUGGACCUACUUCCGGUUUUAAUACAGGUAUAUUCUUCCAGUAUAAAUGGUCCUGUCCGUCAUAAAUGUUUGUCUACAAUUGGGAAGUUGAUGUUCUUCAGCUCAGCGGAUAUGAUCCAAUCCUUGCUUAGUGUAGCAAACAUAUCCAGCUUUUUAGCUGGUAUUUUAGCAUGGAAAGAUCCACAACUUUUGAUCCCCGCUCUUCAGAUAGCUGAGAUUCUCAUGGAGAAGCUCCCUGGAACAUUUUCCAAGAUGUUUGUGAGAGAAGGGGUUGUUCAUGCUGUGGAUAUACUAAUAUCCUCUGAUCCUUCUCUAGCGCCCAUCUGUGAAAAGGAUGAUGAUGCUUUACCUGGAAUAACUUGGCGUUCUCGGCGUAGUCGACGGUGUAGUGGUGGCUUGAACACAGAAAAUAGCUCAGUUGAUGACUCAAAAGGAUCUUCAUCAGAAAUUUCUGUCUCACCUCUGCCUUCAGUUGAGGUUCCAAAUGCCAAUUCUAGUCUUCGUGCUGCCGUCAGUGCUCAUGCCAAGGCUUUUAAAGACAAGUAUUUUCCAGCAGGUUCUAGUGCAGUUGAAGCAGGACUCACAGAAGAUCUUCUUUGUUUGAAAAAUCUUUGCUCAAAGUUAAAUUCCCUUGUUGAAGAUGCAAGGUCAAAAUCCAAAGGUAAAUCUAAAGCACUUGGGUUGUGCUCCUUUGAUGUUUCUUUUAGUAGCGAGGAACUGCUAGAUGAAGUAAUAGCAGAUAUACUAGCUGAACUUUGCAAAGGCGAUGGUGUAUCGACUUUUGAGUUUAUUGGCAGUGGAGUUGUUCUGGCAUUGCUAGAUUAUUUUACUUGUGGAACAUUUGGAAGAGAAAAAAUCUCUGAAGCUAAUUUACCAAAGCUUCGACAGCAAGCACUGCAACGGUACAAGUUCUUUAUUGCAACGGCACUGCCUAUGGAACUUAAGGAAGGAAAUAGAACUCCCAUGAGUUUGUUGGUUCAGAAGCUUCAGAAUUCUUUAUCUUCUUUAGAACAUUUUCCAGUUGUAAUUAGUCAUUUGUCUAGAUCUAGUAGUGGAAGCGCACGCUUCUCAGGUCUAGGGUCCUUAUUUCAGCCGUUUAAGUUGCGUUUAUGUCGAGCACAAGGGGAAAAAUCUCUUCGUGAUUAUUCAUCGAAUGUGGUACUAAUUGAUCCUCUAGCAAGUCUAGCUGCAGUUGAAGAAUUCCUUUGGCCAAGAGUUCAGCGAAGUGACUCUGUACAGAAGUCUUCAACAUCAACAGGCAAUUCUGAUUCUGGAGCUGCUGUUGGAUCUGCUGCUCCGACACCACCAACUCCUGGACAUCGUCCUUCAACCAGGUCUAGGUCAUCAGUUACAAUUGGAGUUCCAGCUAAAAAAGAUGCUUCAGAUGGAAGUGCCAAUUCUUCUAAAGGGAAGGGUAAGGCUGUCCUGAAAUGUACUCCUGAUGAAUUAAGAGGACCUCAAACAAGAAAUGCUGCCCGUAGAAGAGCUGCAUCAGAUAAAGAGAUGGAAAUAAAACCUUCACAGAGUGAAUCUAGCUCUGAGGAUGAAGAUUUGGACAUGUCUCCGGUUGAGUUGGAUGACACUCUUAUGAUUGUGGAUGAUGAUGUCUCUGAUGAGGAAGAUGAUCAUGAGGUGUUUAGAGAUGACUCUCUUCCUGUUUGUGUACCAGAUAAGGUACAUGAUGUCAAAUUAGGAGAUUCUGCUGAUGAUGGUGCUGUUUCAUGUUCAGCAAGUGAUAACCAAGUGCAAACAACAUCUGGUUCCAGUGACAGGUCUGUCACAGACAAAGGGGCAGAAUAUACUGAACUCCAAAGGGAAAGUGCUUUUGGUUCCAGAGGUGCAAUGUCAUUUGCUGCUGCUGCCAUGGCAGGACUUGCUUCCAUUGGUGGCAGAGGUAUCAGAGUUGGUCGAGAUUAUCGUGGACUUGCCUCUUUUAGCACUAAAAGUAACCAUCAAAAUAAAUUGAUAUUCACAGCAGGAGGGAAGCAGCUUAGCAAGCACUUUACUGUAUAUCAAGCUUUUCAACGCCAACUUAUUCUCAAUGAAGAGGGUGAUGAAAAAUUUAAUGGCUCUGAUCUUCCCAGUGAUGGCAAUAGCUUAUGGGGUGAAAUAUUUACCAUAACAUAUCAGAAGGCUGAUGGGCAGGUUGACAAGGCUUCCCAAGGAAGUUCAAUUCUGUCAAAAUCUUCGAAACCUGCCUUCGCUUCCGAUUCUGUCGGUGACAAUAAGUGGCAAGAAAUUUCACUUCUUGACAGCAUCUUGCAAGGGGAGCUUCCCUGUGAUCUCGAACGAUCGAAUCCUACAUAUAAUAUAUUGGCAUUAUUGCGUGUGUUGGACAGUCUAAAUCAGCUAUCAACCCGUCUAAGGAUGCAGGCAGUAUCCGAUGAGUUUGCUGAGGGAAAAAUUUCAAACCUGGAUAAACUUUAUAGGAUUGGUCCAAAGGUUCUGCCAGAAGAGUUUGUGAAUGGCAAGUUGACUCCGAAGCUUGCUCGGCAAAUUCAGGAUGCUCUCGCAUUAUGUAGUGGUAGUCUUCCUCCAUGGUGUUAUCAGUUGACAAAAGCAUGUCCUUUUCUUUUUCCAUUUGAAACCAGGAGGCAAUAUUUCUACUCGACAGCUUUUGGUAUAUCUCGUGCAUUGCGCCGACUUCAGCAACAACAGAAUUCUGACAAUCAGAAUUCAGCUAGUGAAAGAGAGUUCCGUGUUGGCAGACUGCAAAGACAAAAGGUCCGUGUUUCUAGAAAUCGUAUCUUGGAUUCUGCUGUAAAAGUUAUGGAGAUGUAUUCUAGUCAAAAAGCUGUUCUUGAAGUUGAAUAUUUUGGUGAAGUCGGCACAGGAUUGGGUCCAACCUUAGAGUUCUAUACCCUUUUAAGUCAUGACUUGCAGAAGGUCAAAUUGGGUUUAUGGAGGUCCAACUCUGCAUCAGAAAGUUCUGCAAUGCAAAUUGAUGGGGAUGAAACAGAUGGUGGAAGGAGUGAUUAUGGUUCAGAAACAAAGAAACCAGGCACAGAGUUACCUGAUGGAAGAAUAGAUCUUAUUCAAGCCCCCCUUGGCUUAUUUCCGCGUCCUUGGCCCCCUAGUGCAGAUACCUCUGAUGGUAGCCAGUUUUCCAAAGUUAUUGAAUAUUUUCGUCUGGCUGGUCGGACAAUGGCAAAAGCUCUACAAGAUGGACGACUUCUGGACUUGCCACUUUCGACAGCAUUUUACAAACUUGUGAUGGGCCAAGAGCUUGAAUUACAUGAUAUACUCUUAUUCGAUGCCGAGUUUGGAAAGAUAUUGCAAGAGAUGCAAGCCCUUGUUGGCCACAAACAAUUUCUAGAGAGAAAUCCUGGUAACAAUCAAAUGGCAAUUGCAGAUUUACGUUUUCGUGGUGCCCCAAUUGAUGACCUCUGCUUAGAUUUCACUCUUCCUGGCUACCCUGAUUACAUUCUUAAAGGAGGAGGGGAAAAUAUCAUGGUUGAUAUCAACAAUUUGGAAGAGUAUGUUACUCUAGUUGUUGAUGCAACAAUUAAGACAGGAAUUAAGCAACAGAUGGAGGCAUUUAGAGCUGGGUUCAACCAGGUCUUUGACAUAUACUCUUUGCAAAUAUUUUCACCACAUGAACUUGACAACCUAAUCUGCGGACUUAGAGAACUGUGGGAGAUCCUGCAGCCCGAGACUCUGGUUGAUCAUAUAAAGUUUGAUCAUGGGUACACUGCCAAGAGUCCUGCAAUUACUUAUUUGCUUGAGAUAAUGGGAGAAUUCACACUAGAGCAGCAGCAUGCUUUUUGCCAGUUUGUGACUGGUGCUCCGAGGCUUCCACCUGGUGGUCUAGCUGCACUGAACCCAAAGUUGACCAUAGUUAGGAAGCACUCGACUCCGGCAAACGCUGCAAAUGAAAAUGGGGUGCCUGAAUCAGUUGAUGAUGACUUGCCUAGUGUGAUGACCUGUGCAAACUACCUUAAACUCCCUCCUUACUCGACCAAGGAAAUAAUGUACAAAAAACUCCUUUAUGCUAUCAGGGAAGGCCAGGGAUCAUUCGAUCUCUCAUAGGCUUCCUAGAUAUGCAGCAGCAUCAUGGUGGAGUCUGCUUGCUGCUCAUUUUGCCCAAUGUCAUGCCAGAUCUAUUUUCUGCCGUGGUCCCGAAAAAGCCAGUUCAAGAGGAGCGUGACAUUUGUGAUGGUGGGUCAUGGUGUCGGGACGGAGUAAAUGUGCUUUCUUGCAUGAUAGGCAACUUGAACGGUGACUCGAACGGCGUCGAGUUAGAGCUGCGGGUCCACGCAUGUAUGGUUGGAAUGUCGAUCGGAUCAGUUGGAGAUUUGAGGUAGAGAACAUUUUAUUUGACAUGAUGUCAAAACCUUGGUGGACAAGGAUGCUAGCGGGGGUCGUUAGCGCCGAUAUCUCUUAGCAGUGGUACAAAACCUUAGUGGCACUCU